GAUGAACGCUGGCGGCGUGCUUAACACAUGCAAGUCGAACGCUGAAGCUCCAGCUUGCUGGGGUGGAUGAGUGGCGAACGGGUGAGUAACACGUGAGUAACCUUCCCUUGACUCUGGGAUAAGCCCGGGAAACUGGGUCUAAUACCGGAUAUGACCUCCUGUCGCAUGGUGGGGGGUGGAAAGAUUUAUCGGUCUUGGAUGGACUCGCGGCCUAUCAGCUUGUUGGUGAGGUAAUGGCUCACCAAGGCGACGACGGGUAGCCGGCCUGAGAGGGUGACCGGCCACACUGGGACUGAGACACGGCCCAGACUCCUACGGGAGGCAGCAGUGGGGAAUAUUGCACAAUGGGCGCAAGCCUGAUGCAGCGACGCCGCGUGAGGGAUGACGGCCUUCGGGUUGUAAACCUCUUUCAGUAGGGAAGAAGCCUUCGGGUGACGGUACCUGCAGAAGAAGCGCCGGCUAACUACGUGCCAGCAGCCGCGGUAAUACGUAGGGCGCGAGCGUUAUCCGGAAUUAUUGGGCGUAAAGAGCUCGUAGGCGGUUUGUCGCGUCUGCCGUGAAAGUCCGGGGCUUAACCCCGGAUCUGCGGUGGGUACGGGCAGACUAGAGUGCAGUAGGGGAGACCGGAAUUCCUGGUGUAGCGGUGAAAUGCGCAGAUAUCAGGAGGAACACCGAUGGCGAAGGCAGGUCUCUGGGCUGUUACUGACGCUGAGGAGCGAAAGCAUGGGGAGCGAACAGGAUUAGAUACCCUGGUAGUCCAUGCCGUAAACGUUGGGCACUAGGUGUGGGGGACAUUCCACGUUUUCCGCGCCGCAGCUAACGCAUUAAGUGCCCCGCCUGGGGAGUACGGCCGCAAGGCUAAAACUCAAAGGAAUUGACGGGGGCCCGCACAAGCGGCGGAGCAUGCGGAUUAAUUCGAUGCAACGCGAAGAACCUUACCAAGGCUUGACAUGUUCUCGAUCGCCACAGAGAUGUGGU
rnacentral:rRNA from 1 species